rnacentral:rRNA from 1 species
AACGAACGCUGGCGGCAGGCCUAACACAUGCAAGUCGAGCGAACCCUUCGGGGUUAGCGGCGGACGGGUUAGUAACGCGUGGGAAUAUACCCUUUGGUACGGAAUAGCCUCGGGAAACUGAGAGUAAUACCGUAUGUGCCCUUCGGGGGAAAGAUUUAUCGCCAAAGGAUUAGCCCGCGUUGGAUUAGAUAGUUGGUGGGGUAAUGGCCUACCAAGUCUACGAUCCAUAGCUGGUUUGAGAGGAUGAUCAGCAACACUGGGACUGAGACACGGCCCAGACUCCUACGGGAGGCAGCAGUGGGGAAUCUUAGACAAUGGGCGCAAGCCUGAUCUAGCCAUGCCGCGUGGACGAUGAAGGCCUUAGGGUUGUAAAGCUCUUUCAGCCGGAAAGAAAACGCACAAAUUAAUACCCUGUGUGGAUGACGGUACCGGAAGAAGAAGCACCGGCUAACUACGUGCCAGCAGCCGCGGUAAAGUGUGACUG